rnacentral:rRNA from 1 species
UACGUAGGUGGCAAGCGUUGUCCGGAUUUACUGGGCGUAAAGCGUGCGCAGGCGGUUCGUUGUGUCUGAUGUGAAAGCCCCGGGCUCAACCUGGGAAUGGCAUUGGAAACUGGCGAGCUAGAGUGUGGCAGAGGGGGGGUGGAAUUCCGCGUGUAGCAGUGAAAUGCGUAGAGAUGCGGAGGAACACCGAUGGCGAAGGCAGCCCCCCUGGGCUGACACUGACGCUCAGGCACGAAAGCGUGGGGAGCAAACAGG